UACAGAGGGUGCGAGCGUUGUCCGGAAUCACUGGGCGUAAAGGGCGCGUAGGCGGCCUGGUAAGUCAGGGGUGAAAUCUUGCGGCUCAACUGCAAGGCUGCCUCUUAAACUGCUAGGCUGGAGCACGGUAGAGGCAGAUGGAAUUCCCGGUGUAGCGGUGGAAUGCGUAGAGAUCGGGAAGAACACCGGUGGCGAAGGCGGCAUCCUGGACCGGUAUUGACGCUGAGGCGCGAAAGCCAGGGGAGCAAACGGG
rnacentral:rRNA from 1 species